GACGAACGCUGGCGGCGUGCCUAAUACAUGCAAGUCGAACGCAGUGGGGACGGGUGAGUAACACGUGGGUAACCUCCCAUCAGAGGGGAAAACACAUGGAAACAGGUGCUAAACUGAUAUUGUUGGAUGGACCCGCGGUGCAUUAGCUAGUUGGUGGGGUCACGGCUCACCAAGGCCACGAUGCAAAGCCGACCUGAGCGGGUGAUCGGCCACUCUGGGACUGAGACACGGCCCAGACGCCUACGGGAGGCAGCAGUAGGGAAUCUUCGGCAAUUGACGAAAGUCUGACCGAGCAACGCCGCGUGAGUGAAGAAGGUUUUCGGAUCGUAAGACUCUGUUGUUAGAUAAGCGGUAUCUAACCAGAAAGCCACGGCUAACUACGUGCCAGCCGCCGCGGUAAUAC
rnacentral:rRNA from 1 species